GCCGGGCACUCAGCUGGGCCGCCUCUCUGUGUUGCAGGUGACGGAGCGAGGCCACGAGGACGCGGCUCCUCCCCGGGACCGUGGGGGACAUCCCCACCCUCCGUCCCAGGGAUCCCCAUGAUCCCUGUGGAUCCCUGUGGAUCCCCAUCAUCCGUCCCAGUGGAUCCCAGUGAUCCCCGUGGAUCCCCACCCUCCAUCCCAGUGAUCCCUGUGGAUCCCCACCCUCCGUCCCAGGGAUCCCCAUGGAUCCCAGUGAUCCCCAGGGAUCCCAGUGAUCCCCACCCUCCAUCCCAGUGAUCCCCGUGGAUCCCAGUGAUCCCCACCAUCCAUCCCAGUCACUCCCAGUGGAUCCCAGUGAUCCCCACCAUCCAUCCCAGUCACUCCCAGUGGAUCCCAGUGAUCCCACUGGAUCCCCACCCUCCAUCCCAGUGGAUCCCCACCCUCCGUCCCAGUCAUUCCCAGUGGAUCCCCGUGAUCCCUGUGGAUCCCCACCAUCCAUCCCAGUCACUCCCAGUGGAUCCCAAUGGUGCCUGUGGAUCCCCACCACCCAUCCCACUCACUCUCAUCGAUCCCAGUGAUCCCAGUGGAUCCCAGUGGAUCCCCACCAUCCAUCCCAAUCAAUCCCAGCGGAUCCCGGCUGCUGCUGGGGUGGGGCAAGGUCGGUUUUCGCUCUGCACGUGAAGCUUAUUGAAAGGCGGGGAA
rnacentral:lncRNA from 1 species